rnacentral:rRNA from 1 species
UACGAAGGGGGCUAGCGUUGCUCGGAAUCACUGGGCGUAAAGCGCACGUAGGCGGCUUUCUAAGUCAGGGGUGAAAUCCUGGAGCUCAACUCCAGAACUGCCUUUGAUACUGGCGACCUUGAGUCCGGGAGAGGUGAGUGGAACUGCGAGUGUAGAGGUGAAAUUCGUAGAUAUUCGCAAGAACACCAGUGGCGAAGGCGGCUCACUGGCCCGGUACUGACGCUGAGGUGCGAAAGCGUGGGGAGCAAACAGGG